CUCUGAGAGUGUGGAAAGGCGGCUGCUCCCUUUGUACUGGUUUGAGAGUUUCUGCUAUGCAAAGAAUUUUCUUUGUGCUUCCUGGAGCUUUAUCCUGCCAAGACCGGGGGAGCGGAGCAACAACGCGGCUUUGAAGACGCCUAAACCAAAGAAAUGGCCAGGCCCUGCUCUGCACCUUCGGUUCUUCUCCUGGUUGGGAUGUCGUAUUGUGGUUACCCUGUACCAAUAGCACAGGACCUGGAGAGAAAACCAUGAACCUGCUGAAGGUCCCGAAGGUACGGAGGUCCCAGGAGACGGCCUCUGUGGGGAGGGGAGAGCGUGUUCACACGUGAGAGGAAGAGUGAAAUGGCCCUCAAGGGGCAGGCGGGCUGCUGUGGCAGGACUCAUGGGCUGCUCACCCAGCCUAACCCCUCUCCACAGUUUGUUCAUCCACUCGUGUUGAUGGACACUUGCGGUGUUUCUGCAUCUGGACUCUCCGCAGCUCACUGGGGAAAGAAACUCGGCAGAGAUUUCCCCAGAUUCGACAACCAUCCUAUCUAAUCCUGAACAUUUCGCCUCAUUACCAAGAUGGAGUUGCCAAGAUGAAAAAACUUUUCUAAAGUAUUUUAAUGAAAAGGAAAAUAGGUUGAGUUAACUUUCUUUGCUCUCUAUAAAAAUUGAUAUUACAAAACCAUUGUUAUAUGAAAAGACAAACAGUAGACAGGCAGAAAAAUGAUAGGCAGAAGCAAAGAAUUAUAGAGGUGUGUCAGGCAGUUCUUUAUGAAAAUACUAUGUUAAUUUGGAUGAACAAAUUCUGGAUUUGUUCAGUUUUCAGUUUUUAAAAGUGUGCUUCUGUUUUUUUUUUAAUGUGCAAUUUGUUGUCAUAUUUUUUCCUUAUUAAACUUGGUAUAC